rnacentral:misc_RNA from 1 species
AAUCGGUCUCGCUUCAGUGCUUCAUGAUGAUCCACGAUAAACGGCAAAAGCCCCGCGUUCGAUUUUCAAACGGUAUGAAGGUGCAGAUCGUCGCAUCUGACGGCGCUUGGCAACAUUCGUGCGAGAUCAUCGACAUUUCGGAAACGGGAGCCAAGCUCUGGUUCUCCAACCUGCUCGAGAUGGCUGAAAUCGAGGAGUUUCUCCUUUUGCUCUCAAGCAAUGGCGCCGCCGGUGUGCGCGCCUAUCGGCGAUGUAAAGUCAGAUGGAGGAUGAGCAACGAAAUGGGCGUAGAAUUCCUGCCAAAGGAAUUGCCACCGAUCAGUCGGCAUUCAUCC